CUAGCUUGUAAUGUAGAUGCAUUAGCAUGCUCCACUGGUCCAACUGAUCCACGACCGUCAAGGAGAGGUCGUGGACGUAGACCAACGAUGGGGCAUGGGCUUCAGGAGUAUGCAAGCAGAAAUGGAGGGAGGAAAAUGCGUAUUGAUUUUACAACAGGGAAAGUGAGACCUAUAGACCCAGUCCAAGCAUCAAAGCUUUCUUCUGAGUGUGGUAUCCACAUCAGGAGCAGAAUGCAUGUUGCUAGGCACUGGAAUGACUAUGCCAAAAGCCCACUCAAACAUGUUAUUCCCCAUGCUAUUAAAGAUAUCGCGCUUAACUUUGAGAUGGAAAAGGAUGACAAGGUUGGGAAUGAUGUAUGCACAAAAAAGAAAUACUUCAAUGGUUAUACUGCUCAGGAAGCAUUAUCAAAUAAGCCAGCGAACAUUACUCAUGAGAAUUGGACCAGCCUUGUCAAUAAAUGGUCCGAUGAGAGAAGCAAGAAAAUAUGUCAAAUGAACAAGGAAAACCGAGAAGCUGUCAAGCAUCACCAAAAGACUGGAUCUAUGUCUUAUGUUGCCUAUUUCAGCAAACUUAAAAAAGACAAGUACAAUAAUCAGGACCCAAGUCCUAUUGAGUUUUUCAAAGACACCCAUAUAAACAGCAAGACUGGUAGCAUGAGCGAGCCGGCACUUCUAGCUCAUAAUGCAAUGGAAAAUAAAAGAGAAGCACAAUCAGAAGGUGAGCAGCCAGUAUCCGAUACAGCAAUUGUGGCUGAAGUUCUAAAGGAAGAAAGCGCCCAUAGCAGCUUCCUUUCCAGCAUGGGGUAUGCAUCAAGAUCCAGGAGGUCUGGGAGCUCUACUUCAUCAGCCCAGAUCCGAGUUUUAGAAGAAAGAAUUGAACAGAAGGAUAGAGAGGCAAAAGAUGCAAAUGACAGGCAUCGGGAGGAGUUAGCCACAAGACUUCAAGCACAAGAGAGAGCAUUUCAAGAGAUACAGAAGAAUCAGCAAGAAGAAUUGGAAGCUCUAAAGAAGAGCCAGCAAGAGAAGAAUGAAGCCUGGGCAAAGAAGCAAAAGGAGAUGGAUAAUCUGCUUGAUUUUCUCUUGAGGGCUCAAGCAACUCAGCAAGCAACUCAGCAGUCCCAGUCUAAACCAGAUGGUUCAUGA
rnacentral:rRNA from 1 species